rnacentral:rRNA from 1 species
GUGUCAGCAGCCGCGGUAAUACAGAGGUCCCAAGCGUUGUUCGGAUUCACUGGGCGUAAAGGGUGCGUAGGUGGCCAGGUAAGUUCGGUGUGAAAGCUCGGAGCUUAACUCCGAAAUGUCAUUGAAUACUAUCUGGCUUGAGGGUCGGAGGGGAGACUGGAAUUUACGGUGUAGCGGUGAAAUGCGUAGAUAUCGUAAGGAAGACCAGUGGCGAAGGCGGGUCUCUGGACAGUUCCUGACGCUGAGGCACGAAGGUCAGGGGAGCAAACGGGAUUAGAAACCCCGGUAGUCC